CGCGCCGGGGCCGCUCCUCCGGAGCAGGAGUGGGACGAGGAGGAGGAGGAGGCCGAGGGUUUUCUUCCCGGCCGGGGGAGAGAGCGGGAGCGCGGGGCCGGGCCGGAGGGAUGCAGGGUCCGAGGGACCCCGGGAGGCUCCGCGGCUUCGCGCCGUCUCCCGGCCCGGCGCGUUUCCCUUUGACUCGUUUGACACGGAUGCGUCGCCGUCCCACCUCCCUCGCCGAGGAGCCGCUCCGGGCGGGAAGCGGAGGGGGCAGGCGAGCGUCGGCGUCUCCCUUCCGAAGGCUCCGGGCGGGUCUGGGAGCGCCAAGGGCUAGACACGACCGCCGGCACGCGGCCCCCCCRGCACACCCCCGCCCCGGCACGGGGGCCCCCGUCAGCCCAGCCUUAUCUCAGCACUCAGGCAGCUACACAAACACAAGCGGAUCGACGGGAUUACGCUAUAAUUCCGGGGGGGUUAUUGCCGCUCGGCUCCUCGUCCCGCCCUGGUGGCGCACGGAGCGGGUGCCGGAGCACGGAGCAGGUGCCGGAGCGCCGAGGGCCGGGCUCGCGCGUCGAGGCUCCGCCGCCGCCCCAGCGGGUUUUCCGGGAAGCUCCCACUCGCUCUCCUGGAUUUCGGAGGAGCGAAGCGGAGCAGUCGGAGCCCGGGUGGGAGACGCGGGGCUCCCGGUGCCCCUGGGAAGUCACUUCACCUCUCUGUGCCUCGGUUUCCCCCCUUCCUCUCCCCCGCUGCGGUUACCGGUGUUGCCUUCCUCGCCGCCGCGGCCCCCCCUGGAGCCGGCGCCGCUCCCGUCCGCGCCCUCCCUUCCGGCUCUCCGAGGCAGGUCCCCGCUCGUCCCCACCGACGGCCGCUUCCGCCCCGCGCCGGGGCGGAUCCCGAUGCUACUGAACCGACGACGACGACAACGUAUUUAAAGUAGGGUCACUGCAAAAACACAACCGUGUUGCCAAAAAACCAACAAAACGAGAAAACAAGCGUUUAAUUGCCUCUGUAUUUAGGGUUUUUG
rnacentral:lncRNA from 1 species